CAGAGAGGCAGGGCUCAAGGCCAGCCUGGGCUACAUCGUGAGCUCCGGGUGAAGCAGAGCUCUGUAGUGAGAUGCAAGAUCACAAACAAGGGAAACAGCUGGAGAAGGCAGGGUCUUUGGGACACAGGAGCUCCAGCUGAAGCCAGACUGCGAGAGAGAAUCCUCAAGCUGUGGAGCCUACAUACCUGCUACCCAGGCGUGGGCAAAGCUGCUCUGAACAUUGAGAACUGAGGAUUCCCCACAAAGGCAUCUUAAUGUGCUUCAAGAACGCCUCCCAUGGGAGUCAACAACGCAUGGCAUAUCAAGUUGAGGCAGGACCAAGCUCCUCCGCCCUGCAUCAAGGUUCAGUGAGGCAUCCCACCAUAGGGAAAAGGUCCCAAAGAGCAUGCUCAGCUUCUUGAAGCACAUGCUCACCACGCAAAGCGUUGAGUUUCAGGGUGACAUCGUUGCAGACCACAGCUUUGACUCCCCUCUGCUGUUACCCUCUCUUAUCCCUUAGCUCUCCCUCCCCUUACCCUUUUCAUAUCCUCGAUUGUCUUCUUGUGCGUUCUUGGUCCCACAACUGAACAAAUGAGAGAGAGAUCCGGUGUUCAUCUAAAUCCAGCUUUCAAGUGCU